GUGGGUUUGGCCGAGUGGUCUAAGGCGCUACAUUUAGGCUGUAGUAUCUUCGGAUGCGCGAGUUCGAAUCUCGUGACCCACA
rnacentral:tRNA from 2 species